rnacentral:rRNA from 1 species
CAAUAGCGUAUAUUUAAGUUGUUGCAGUUAAAAAGCUCGUAGUCGGAUUUUGGCUGAGAACGAUCGGUCCGCCGUUAGGUGUGCACUGAUUGGUCCCAGCUUCCUGGUGAGGAGGUGUGCUUCACGGCCACUUAGUCACCGUGGUUACUUUGAAAAAAUUAGAGUGUUCAAAGCGGGCUUACGCUUGAAUAUAUUAGCAUGGAAUAACACCAUAGGACUCCUGUCCUAUUUCGUUGGUCUCGGGACGGGAGUAAUGAUUAAGAGGAACAGUUGGGGGCAUUCGUAUUUCAUUGUCAGAGGUGAAAUUCUUGGAUUUAUGAAAGACGAACUUCUGCGAAAGCAUUUGCCAAGGAUGUUUUCAUUGA